CUUCGGCUUAAAGAGGGGGACCUUCGGGCCUCUCGCGUCAGGAUAUGCCCAGGUGGGAUUAGCUAGUUGGUGGGGUAAGGGCUCACCAAGGCGACGAUCUCUAGCUGGUCUGAGAGGAUGAUCAGCCACACUGGAACUGAGACACGGUCCAGACUCCUACGGGAGGCAGCAGUGGGGAAUAUUGCACAAUGGGCGCAAGCCUGAUGCAGCCAUGCCGCGUGUAUGAAGAAGGCCUUCGGGUUGUAAAGUACUUUCAGUGGUGAGGAAGGUAGUGUGUUUAAUAGGCACAUUCUUUGACGUUAGCCACAGAAGAAGCACCGGCUAACUCCGUGCCAGCAGCCGCGGUAAUACGGAGGGUGCGAGCGUUAAUCGGAAUUACUGGGCGUAAAGCGCAUGCAGGUGGUCUGUUAAGUCAGAUGUGAAAGCCCGGGGCUUAACCUCGGAAUAGCAUUUGAAACUGUCAGACUAGAGUACUGUAGAGGGGGGUAGAAUUUCAGGUGUAGCGGUGAAAUGCGUAGAGAUCUGAAGGAAUACCGGUGGCGAAGGCGGCCCCCUGGACAGAUACUGACACUCAGAUGCGAAAGCGUGGGGAGCAAACAGGAUUAGAUACCCUGGUAGUCCACGCCGUAAACGAUGUCUACUUGGAGGUUGUGGCCUUGAGCCGUGGCUUUCGGAGCUAACGCGUUAAGUAGACCGCCUGGGGAGUACGGUCGCAAGAUUAAAACUCAAAUGAAUUGACGGGGGCCCGCACAAGCGGUGGAGCAUGUGGUUUAAUUCGAUGCAACGCGAAGAACCUUACCUACUCUUGACAUCUACAGAAGCUUGCGGAGACGCGAGUGUGCCUUCGGGAACUGUAAGACAGGUGCUGCAUGGCUGUCGUCAGCUCGUGUUGUGAAAUGUUGGGUUAAGUCCCGCAACGAGCGCAACCCUUAUCCUUGUUUGCCAGCACGUUAUGGUGGGAACUCCAGGGAGACUGCCGGUGAUAAACCGG
rnacentral:rRNA from 1 species